rnacentral:misc_RNA from 1 species
UUACUAUUUAAUAUAUAAUUAAAAAAAUAUAUAAAAUAAAUAUAUAAUUAUUUUUUGUCAAAUUUUCAUGAGGAUAUAAUGAAUAUUGUACAUUUCAUCUCAAAAUAAAGUUUAAUAAAUUAAAAUUUUGACAUAUACUAUUAAAAAUAUAUUUAUUUAUUUAUAAAUACAACCUCAAACCCCUACUUAAAAUAAAUUUUAAAAAAUGCAAGACUUCAGUACAACUUUCAGAAGUAACAUUUCUUAAAAUCUGGAAAGAAUUCAAUUGUAGACGCUUUAGUCACUAUUCAAAAUUGACAUGUAAGUUGCAAUUUGCAACAGCACUCUUAUCAACUUCGCACCUAAAUACAAGCACUGCCAAAACCGCAACUAUUUCAGCUCACACCUUUGACAGACUGCCUGGUAUGUGCGUCUUGAAGUAUCUUUGUUAUUUUGCUUUCUUAUAAUGAACUCUUAGCACACCUCCUCUUCCAAUCCCCCACACACCCGCACAAAAAAAAAUACUAAUAAAAAAAUCAUCUGAAUUUCAGUGAAGCAUGACCUGUGUCGCUCAAAUGCUUAUGUAAUUUAUUCCUUGAUUCAAAUUCCUCUCCACAUUUCUCACAUGCAUUGCCAGAAUUAUUUGCUGCUGCCUUUCCUUUCUUUCCUUUGGACAAGAUUUUCGUUUUGUUAUUUGAUUCCUUCUUUGUGGCCCCUUUAUUGUUGACAGGAUGAUAUGAAUUCUUAUGAUUCUUCCUCGCAUUAUCGUUGUCGUUACCAGCAUUCUCAUCUUCUACAAAUAAAUGAGAAGGGGACUCCUUCGUUUGCCUGUCAUCAUGCCCAUUAAUUUCACCAUCUGGACUUCUUUCCUCAAAAUCACCCUUCUCAGAAACUCCGUAGUCAUUCUUACCCCUCUCUUUCUUGCCUCUCCUCCUCCUACUUUUCAGGUUGUUAUAUUCCAUAACUUCCAACUCAUUCACAUCUUCGGCACGAAUUUCCAUUGGAAAAUUCUCACUCACAUGCCUUGAACCCCGACUUUUCCUACUCUUGUGCCCAGUUACCAUUGCUUCAAGUACACUCAUUUCCCCAUCACCAUCCUCAUCCUCAACCUCAUCAUCAUCAAAAUUCCCAUCUGACAUAUCAAAUCCUUCCACCUCAUCACCGUCCCCAACAUCAAAGAACCCAUCUUCCUCAUCUCUCAAUUCUGCAUUCUCAACCCCAUUCUCUUCCUCCCUUAUCCUGAAACCCUCUCUAAACCUCGCAUCUACCUCAUCAACAUUGUUAACCAUUUCUUCAUUGUUUCCCAUUUCUUCAUUGUUUCCCUGUUCAUCCUCCUCAAAAUCUUCUAGUGUCUCUUCUUCAUCAUCCCCAAAUGACUCCCUGAACUCAGCCACCUUCUCCUUAUGCUUCUUCGAUUGCUCAUGAUUCUUCCAUUGCUUCUCACUCUUAAACUUUUUUCCACACACCACGCAAUACAACUCUUUCCCUCCAUUCCCCGUCUUACCCUUUCCUUCCUCCUCAAACCCCUCCACCUCCUCCACAUCCUCUUCAUUCAGUCUUGCCCACUCCGGCUCCUCAUAUGCUCUAACUCUCUCCAUUUUCUCUCUCUCCAACUUCUUCUUCCUCUCCCUCUCCUCCUCUUUCUUUUUCUCCAACUCCGCAUUUUUCUUCACCAUCAUAUCAAUCACUCUUUUAUCCCUCUUCUUCACAAAUUCCGCCAAUCCCCUCACCGUCUCAUUAUACUCCCUCCUGGCCUUUUUCCUCAACUUCUUGUUCUCUUCCUCCAUCGCCCUCCUUGAUUUCCGAUUCGGCCCGGCCAUUACAUCGUAUUGAUCCACCCAACAAAAAUCCAUUACCGUACAAAACCCUAACCAGUAAUUAUAGAACACUGCAAUCUGCCUGUACUCUCCAAAUUCCCCAUUACUACCAAAGCCUCCCUCACACUAUCCGACCUCAACUCUAAUUUACAAAAACUAACCUCGUUCGCAUAAAUUUUGUUAAAAAUGUCAGGAUACACCUUAUAAAACCCUUUUCCUGUAACCUUGUAACCCACAUAGUCCAUGUUAGACAAGAAAAUUUGCGGAUAACAGGGCCAGGAACCGAAUGGGCGAAAUUAGGAUCAGAGGAGGAUUUAAGAGCGGUAAGAAUUAUACUAGCAACGCUCCUUGGGUUCGGAGAGGACCUCGUAAGUGUAAGCUCUUGAAAUUAAGCGGUGGCUUUAGCUUGGCUUAAGCCAAGUUAAAUGAGUUUGUCAGGUUGUUUCUUCAACGAUGGAAUCCCGAGAAAGGCUGUGCGCCUUGCAGUGGCAUCGCUUCUCCAACGCCAUUACAGAAGAUGGGUUAUGCUGGCUUGGGCGGUUAGGGAUGAAGAAGAGCUAAACAAAAGCGCUGUUAGGAUACGAGAAUAAUUAAUAAGAUCUCUGUAGCUUUUGUAGUUUCUACUUGAAAAAUGAAGUCUUAAUUCUUCAAUAGGAAAAAUCCCUGAAUGCAGGGCAUGACACUCUUAUGGAUAGCAAUUCAUAGAAACAGAAUUAUAGGAAUUGGAAGACUAAUAUCUCAAAUAUAAACCAAUCAAAAUUUAAAAAAUGUAGCUUCAUCUUGUUACAAUUGUGCUUCACAGAAUCUGCAAAUCUUUGAUAUGGUAUGGUGGUCUAUCUCCAAUCUACGCUACCUCUCGCAGAGAUGGUCCCUUUCUCUCUAUUGACAAGUUGGCAACUUCAUGCUUCUUGUCUCCAUCUAUUCUUUCAUUGAAUUGGUCCCUGAGAAAUUCCACAGCCAUGAAAGUAAGAGCAGAGGCUGGGAUAUACCAUGUUAUCCUGGGGAUGCUUCCUCUGAACAUUCCUUUGACACCUUCAACCAUCCAUAUUCUUUGCAUUGCGUCCAACCAGCCUUUGUACCUUACAGUUGAUCCCUGAACUUGCAAUCUUGUUUUGAUGACAUCCAAGGGAGUGGUCAGAUAUGCGCUGAAACCACCAGCCAAUCCUCCCAGGACCAGUCCCUCCAUAGAACUAUUAAUGAAGUCAUCUAAACUGGGCAUCCAUUUUUGCUUCCCAUACUCUGUCAGAUCUUUCAGGGCUUCAUAAAACAUAACCUGCAAAUCACAAAAACAAUAUCAACUUAAAUAAGCUUCAAGGUAGAGUCAACCAGCAUGGACAAAAAAAUUAAAAGGCACUUCUUGCGGAUUAAGUAAGAACCAAAUUUCUCAAGAGUCAAGAUAAGACAAACCAUUAGGCCAGCAAAUGGAACAUCCCUUGCAAGUGUAGACCAGUAUCUGCCAAAGGGAGCAGUAAAUUAUGCAUUGAGACAAAUAACUCUUUCAAAAUGUGGUACUAUCUUAGUUGGCUGGAAACAACAAUAUCGGUCAUCAUUCGAAGAAAUGAUCUUGCUUGCAAUAUUACAUUAUACUUGAGUUUAUAUACCUUGCAGGAACAGGGUUAAAAUUUUUGCACAUUGAAAGAGCUAACACAUCGUCCCUAGUCUUCAUGGCCUGCUACUUGGUUGAAUUUAGAUUUAGAUGUUGUGGUACAUUAUGGGCUAAGGAACCAUUAGGUUUGAUCUUAAGAAGGAAUUUUCCCAUGCAUUAAAUUUAAAUCAAUAAGCCAGUGCCACAUAUCAAAAUAGUUGGUCAAAAUAAACCUUUUGACCAAUCAGGCCCAGCAAUAUGUAAAGAAAAAAAAAAUAUAGAAAACUCAUAUCACAAGCCAAACACUUGGAAGAAGGAUCUUAGCAAAUGUACAGUUAUGGAAUGAUCUCUUUUCCUUUUCAUAUAGUGGGCUCUGUUUUGGUGUAUCAGAAGACUUGGAUGAUGGAUCCUUCAUAACCUGUAUCUUUGUUGAAUUAGGGCAUUUUAUCAAGCAAGAUGCCAUAAAAAUUUUAAACAGUAACUUCAUAUAAUGUAUCAGAACAGUUGGCCAAAAUAUCAUCUCCCACAGAUCACUUUGUGCUCAAUCAGACUUGUCCAUUAUGGUAACAAUAGGCCAGAGAACUAAACAUUCAUAUGAGAGUCAAAAGGAGCUGAGUAUUAUUUUGAUUAGCUCUUUGAUAUACUAAAGUACCUUAAUUCCAUUAGUAACACUUACACCACGGAUUAAUAGUUGGAAGAACUCCAUCCAAUUUAUACCACUACUGAAAGCAGCAGAGUGCUGGCUCAAAAGUGAUAACUUAAUCUAAAACUUUAAAUAGCCAAAUACUUCAAAAGAAAAACCAGAACAUCCACACACUAGAGUUAUUGUUUCAGACAGUUACCCAGCAUACAAUCCUCUUGGCCCCUGCUCCUUCAAUAUUGAACUGCCAGCCUGAAACAUUCCAGUGUAAUAGCCAUACAUCUGCUCACCAGAUUUCACACAGAUAUUGUCUUUCACAACGGCAUUAGUCCAAGAUGUUCUUGUGCCUUGCACCUGCAUUCGUUGCUUCAUUACUUCACAUGGAACAUAUACAAAAGAACCAAGCGUAUCUCCAACAGCUCCAGCAAUGAAAUGUGCCCAGUGGCCUCCAAGGCUAGGAUGUGAUUCUUCGAUCCACUUUUUGCUAGACUCUAUAAAACCAAAAUAUGUUGCUCCAGUUGCAAGAGACCCAGUAACUCCAGGAGUUAUACCUCUAUAAAAGCCUCUUACUCUAUCAGCAGCCCAGACUGUCCGGACCAUCUGCAGUAUGCUCUUUUGGCUCUGGCUUCCGCUAAGAAUUGCUUGACUCUGAAUUCGUGUCUUGAUGGUAUCAACGGGAUGCAUCAUUCCUUCCCCAAAAGCUCCAGCAAUAGCUCCCCAUACGAACUCUCUCCACACAAAGAACUGAUGGUCAGUUGCAGAAGGGAUUGAAUGCGAUGUGGAAGGCUGAAUUCCAUUUGAAGUUGGAUUCUGAACCGCCAUUUUUCAGUUGAUUGAGCUCUCUUUGUGGUUAGGGACUUAGGGUUUAUGGUUUGAAGAGGGCGGGCUUUUGUUGGCUUCCUUGAAAACGACUUGCAAGAUACAUGCACCAGGUUUCAGAGCGUUUGGAUGGUGGUGGGCAAUGACGGC